rnacentral:rRNA from 1 species
GACGAACGCUGGCGGCGUGCUUAACACAUGCAAGUCGAACGGAAAGGCCCUGCUUUUGUGGGGUGCUCGAGUGGCGAACGGGUGAGCAACACGUGAGUAACCUGCCCUUGACUUUGGGAUAACUUCAGGAAACUGGGGCUAAUACCGGAUAGGAGCUCCUGCUGCAUGGUGGGGGUUGGAAAGUUUCGGCGGUUGGGGAUGGACUCGCGGCUUAUCAGCUUGUUGGUGGGGUAGUGGCUUACCAAGGCUUUGACGGGUAGCCGGCCUGAGAGGGUGACCGGCCACAUUGGGACUGAGAUACGGCCCAGACUCCUACGGGAGGCAGCAGUGGGGAAUAUUGCACAAUGGGCGGAAGCCUGACGCAGCAACGCCGCGUGCGGGAUGACGGCCUUCGGGUUGUAAACCGCUUUCGCCUGUGACGAAGCGUGAGUGACGGUAAUGGGUAAAGAAGCACCGGCUAACUACGUG